rfam:Sus scrofa isolate TJ Tabasco breed Duroc chromosome 1, whole genome shotgun sequence.
CUUUAGGUUUUAUUGAAAAACCACACACAUUAAAAAAAAAUCAGAAU